GCCUGGCUAGCUUAGCAGUUGAGACUUUUAAUCUGAGGGUACAGGGUUCAAGUCCCUGGUCAGGCA
rnacentral:tRNA from 1 species